rnacentral:rRNA from 1 species
AGUGAACGCUGGCGGUAGGCCUAACACAUGCAAGUCGAACGGCAGCACAGUAAGAGCUUGCUCUUACGGGUGGCGAGUGGCGGACGGGUGAGGAAUACAUCGGAAUCUACUUUUUCGUGGGGGAUAACGUAGGGAAACUUACGCUAAUACCGCAUACGACCUACGGGUGAAAGCAGGGGAUCUUCGGACCUUGCGCGAUUGAAUGAGCCGAUGUCGGAUUAGCUAGUUGGCGGGGUAAAGGCCCACCAAGGCGACGAUCCGUAGCUGGUCUGAGAGGAUGAUCAGCCACACUGGAACUGGGACACGGUCCAGACUCCUAAGGGAGGCAGCAGUGGGGAAUAUUGGACAAUGGGCGCAAGCCUGAUCCAGCCAGACCGCGUGGGUGAAGAAGGCCUUCGGGUUGUAAAGCCCUUUUGUUGGGAAAGAAAAGCAGCAGGUUAAUACCCCGCUGUUCUGACGGUACCCAAAGAAUAAGCACCGGCUAACUUCGUG